rnacentral:rRNA from 1 species
AGUUUGAUCCUGGCUCAGGAUAAACGCUGGCGGCGUGCCUAACCCAUGCAAGUCGGACGAUCCCGCAAGGGAGAGUGGCGGAAGGGUGAGUAACACGUAGAAAUCUACCUCGCCGGAGGGAACAACCCCUCGAAAGAGAGGCUAAUACCCAAAAGGAUCCGCAAGGAUCAGAGUCCGCAAGGGCCUGGCGAGAGGAGUCUGCGGCCCAUCAGCUAGUUGGUGGGGUAACGGCCUACCAAGGCUACGACGGGUAGGGGGUCUGAGAGGAUGUCCCCCCACACUGGAACUGAAACACGGUCCAGACGCCUACGGGUGGCAGCAGGGAGGAAUAUUGGACAAUGGGGGAAACCCCGAUCCAGCAACGCCGCGUGAGGGAUGAAGGCCUUCGGGUUGUAAACCUCUUUUCAGGGAGACGAGCAAGGACGGUAUCCCUGGAAUAAGUCACGGCUAACUACGUGCCAGCAGCCGCGGUAAUACGUAGGUGGCGAGCGUUAUCCGGAUUUACUGGGCGUAAAGCGCUUGUAGGUGGCUUCGUAAGUUGGGCGUGAAAGCUCCGGGCUUAACUCGGAGAGGCCGUCCAAUACUGCGGGGCUAGAGGAUGUCAGAGGAAGGUGGAAUUCCUGGUGUAGUGGUGAAAUGCGUAGAUAUCAGGAGGAACACCCGUGGCGAAGGCGGCCUUCUGGGGCAUUCCUGACACUGAGAAGCGAAAGCUAGGGGAGCAAACAGGAUUAGAAACCCUGGUAGUCCUAGCCGUAAACGAUGGAUGCUAGGUGUUGGUGGAUUUAACCCCAUCAGUGCCGAAGCUAACGCGUUAAGCAUCCCGCCUGGGAAGUACGACCGCAAGGUUAAAACUCAAACGGAAUUGACGGGGACCCGCACAAGCAGCGGAGCGUGUGGUUUAAUUCGAUGCUACACGAAGAACCUUACCCAGGCUGACAU